rnacentral:rRNA from 1 species
CAGCCGCCGCGGUAAUACGUAGGGUGCAAGCGUUAAUCGGAAUUACUGGGCGUAAAGCGUGCGCAGGCGGUGUUGUAAGACUGAUGUGAAAUCCCCGGGCUCAACCUGGGAACUGCAUUGGUGACUGCAGCGCUGGAGUGCGGCAGAGGGAGAUGGAAUUCCGCGUGUAGCAGUGAAAUGCGUAGAUAUGCGGAGGAACACCGAUGGCGAAGGCAAUCCCCUGGGCCUGCACUGACGCUCAUGCACGAAAGCGUGGGGAGCAAACAGGAUUAGAUACCCGCGUAGUCCCUGUCUCUUAUAC